AAUAAUGGAGUGCUUCAUGGUACUGAAGGAAGCAAGAGCUCUGCAAAUAGAGGAAAGUGUCUUACAUUGGUUACUGAGAUGUUCAAAAGGGUUGCCUAUUACAUGCCAAAGAAAGCAACUGAAAGCAGGAGAAAUUGCCAAAUCCCUCAGAAUAAAUGAAAGAAAUGUCCAAGCAACAGAGGAUGAUGUGGCCUGGCCUGGGCUAUCAUUAAGUGGAAAGAUGUGAAGCAUACCUCUUAUGUGGAAUUCUCAGCCCAGUGAUCUGAAAAGUCAAAAGAGGGAAGCACGACUAGUAAGAAGGUUUUGGAGAGCACUACUAUAGCAAAAGUCAUGAGGACCAAGCUCUGAGAGGAGUCCCAUUUGAGCUGAGAGCUGUUCAUGGCUCUAGGAAGCUUGGACUCGGGCCUAUAUUCUUGGUCUAAAUAUUCUAAAUGUAACUGGAAGCCAUUAAAGAGUUUUAGGCAAAGAAAUAAAGGAUCACUUUGGCUGCUGUGCACUGAAGGAUCAGAUUAAUAUGGAGGCUAUUGAGGUCUGGGAGAAAGAUGGUGGCUUUAGAGUAGGAUGGUAGCAAUAAAGAUAAAGUGGUUGGAAUCAAGAUUUAUUUGGAGGUUACUUGAUGGGUUGAGUGUGGGAGGCGAGAAAGAGACCAAAGAUACAGCCCAAGUUUUUAGCAUGAUGUAGUAAAGAACAGGGAGGAGAAGAUUUGGGUAUCAGAUGUGGCAGUGGUAGAAAUAUAAAUCUAAUAAUUAUAUUUUUUAUAUAUAGUAAUAUCACUGUUACUUAGACUAUGUAUUUCUCUCUAAUCAGACUUUCUUAUUCACAAAAGGUAGUUUUUAUUUUUUUAAGUUGCUUGACAGAUUCCUUAUUGAAUCAUGGGUCUAGAAAUUUUCAUUGUUGCUCUUGGUAUUGCAAAGGAAAAAUCAGAACUAUAAAACCCAUAUUAAAUUAUGACUUUUGUUGCUAAAUCAUUCAACUUAUACAUUUAAUGUGAACUAACAUUAUUUUAUAGUCACAAUAGAGCUUAUUUUUAUUGCCUGUAGCAGUUGGGAAUUGCAUGCAAUCAUGCUAAUUGUGACAGAGAUAUUACAUGGAAUAAGCAUGUGAUUCCAAUUUAGUUCACAGACAACAGGUGCCCACAUACAAAUAUAACCACUCAGAGGGCAGACUUGUCAAUUUUGGUGGGAGUACCCAGAAGUGAAAGAGGGAAGACUCAGCUCCUCCCUACAUUUUCCUUCAAAUCAAAAUUAAGACAGAGAGAAGAGCAAGGCAAGAGGAAGGAACUGCAAUAUCAGAAUUUAUAUCUUAGCUGAG
rnacentral:lncRNA from 1 species